rnacentral:rRNA from 1 species
AAUGAACGCUGGCGGCGUGCCUAAUACAUGCAAGUCGAGCGAACAGACGAGGAGCUUGCUCCUCUGACGUUAGCGGCGGACGGGUGAGUAACACGUGGAUAACCUACCUAUAAGACUGGGAUAACUUCGGGAAACCGGAGCUAAUACCGGAUAAUAUAUUGAACCGCAUGGUUCAAUAGUGAAAGACGGUUUUGCUGUCACUUAUAGCUGGAUCCGCGCCGCAUUAGUUAGUUGGUAAGGUAACGGCUUACCAAGGCAACGAUGCGUAGCCGACCUGAGAGGGUGAUCGGCCACACUGGAACUGAGACACGGUCCAGACUCCUACGGGAGGCAGCAGUAGGGAAUCUUCCGCAAUGGGCGAAAGCCUGACGGAGCAACGCCGCGUGAGUGAUGAAGGUCUUCGGAUCGUAAAACUCUUUUAUUAGGGAAGAACAAAUGUGUAAGUAACUAUGCACGUCUUGACGGUACCUAAUCAGAAAGCCACGGCUAACUACGUG